rnacentral:rRNA from 1 species
UACGAGGGGGGGCAAAUGUUGUUCGGAAUCACUGGGCGUAAAGGGUGCGUAGGCGGGUUGGUAAGUCCGUGGUGAAAUCCCCCAAGCUUAACUUGGGAACUGCCGUGGAUACUAUCAAUCUUGAAUAUCGUGGAGGUAAGCGGAAUAUGUCAUGUAGCGGUGAAAUGCUUAGAUAUGACAUAGAACACCAAUUGCGUAGGCAGCUUACUACACGAUCAUUGACGCUGAGGCACGAAAGCGUGGGGAGCAAACAGG